UAGGGAAAUUAUAACGUUCGGCUUCGUGUUUUUUUUUUCUACCGUCCCAAUUCCCUAGCUUCCCGAGCGUCACCUUCACUUCACACCAUUGGCCAUUGUAUGGGGAGCACGAAAGAAUACCAAAAAGAAAAAAUCGCUCAAAGCACCAGCAAUUGGGGAUGAAAUACGUUUCCCUCCAGCGGGCAGCAGACAGUAUCAUUCCCUCAUUCACAAUAUCCUCGAAAUCCUCAUUAUCCAUCUUGCCUUUACCGGAACAAAUUCUAAGCGCAAAAGGAUCUCGGCCGCCGUGAUUUGAAAAGGAUAAAAAAUGGCCGUCCGAAAACAUUUAUCUUCCUCUCGUUUGCCAACGGAAAACAUGAACACAUCGGUCAGGGGUUGGGUUUGGCUAGUUGUUUUUUUAUACGCACGUUUGUCAUGUUUCUUUAUAGCGCCACAUGGCACGAAGCUGCAAUGACCUAUUGUUACGGUGAUAUACGGUGACUUGUGUUGUACCGUAAAUGAACCGAUUCGCUGGAAUUCGAUUUCAUAAUGCUUGUUUAUAGCUAUAGAAUAAGUGACAGGGUGUUUUUCUAAAGGGAAGAAAGCUUACCUGUCAUUGUCUCAACUUAUGCUCCACUUGCAAGGAUACGCGUCAUCUGAAAGAAGAAAAAGUUGUUGCAUCAAUAUUAUUUUUAAACAUUUUACUGAUAAAAUAAAGACAUGAACGGAACCUUACGGAACUUGAAUUCAAUAA